rnacentral:rRNA from 1 species
GCUAUCAUGCAGUCGAGCGGAAGAUGGGAGCUUGCUCCCUGAUGUUAGCGGCGGAGGGUGAGUAACACGUGAAUAACCUGCCUGUAAGACUGGGAUAACUCCGGAAAACCGGGGCUAAUACCGGAUGCUUGUUUGAACCGCAUGGUUAAGACAUAAAAGGGGGCUUCGGCUACCACUUACAGAUGAACCCGCGGCGCAUUAGCUAGUUGGUGAGGUAACGGCUCACCAAGGCGACGAUGCAUAGCCUAACUGAGAGGGUGAUCGCUCACACUGGGACUGAAACACGACCCAAACUCCUACGGGAGGCAGUUGUAGGGAAUCUUCCGCAAUGAACGAAAGUCUGACGGAGCAACGCCGCGUGAUUGAUGAAGGUUUUCGGAUCGUAUAGCUCUGUUGUUAGGGAAGAACAAGUGCCGUUCAUUUGACGCGGCACCUUGACGGUACCUAACCAGAAAGCCACGGCUAACUACGUGCCAGCAGCCGCGGUAAUACGUAGGUGGCAAGCGUUGUCCGGAAUUAUUGGCGCGUAAAGGGCUCGCAGGCGGUUUCUUAAGUCUGAUGUGAAAGCCCCCGACUCAACCUCAAAACUGUCAUUGCUAACUGAGGAACUUGAGUGCAGAAGAGGAGAGUGUAAUUCCACGUGUAGCGGUGAAAUGCGUAGAGAUCUGUAGGAACACCAAUGACGUGGGCGACUCUCUAGUCUGUAACUGACACUCAGGAGCGAAAGACUGGGUUAGCAUACAGGGAUUAGAUACCCUGGUAGUCCGACGCCGUCAUACGCUGUGUGCUACGUGUUAUGGUGAUUUGCCGCCCCUUAGUGCUGCAGCUGACGCACUAGGCACUCCGCCUGGGGAGUACAGAUCGCUAGACUGAUACUCGGAGGCACUUGACAGCGGCCCGCACAAGUCGUUGAGUCAUGAGCUUCACGUCGAGCAUCGCGAAGCAUCGUUAUCAGUCUGACUUCCAUCUGACAUCGUAGGACAUACGAAGACCUCUUUCAGGGCAGAGCUGAAAGUGUGCAAUGCUUGUUCGUCAGACUCUGUCGUGAGAUUCUGGAUAGUCACACUGGGCUAACCUUGGACCUAUUGCGCACUCAUGCACUCUCAGU